rnacentral:rRNA from 1 species
GACAGAGGGUGCAAACGUUGUCCGGAAUUAUUGGGCGUAAAGAGCUUGUAGGCGGUUUGUCGCGUCUGCUGUGAAAUUUCGGGGCUCAACCCCGAACUUGCAGUGGGUACGGGCAGACUAGAGUGUGGUAGGGGAGACUGGAAUUCCUGGUGUAGCGGUGAAAUGCGCAGAUAUCAGGAGGAACACCGAUGGCGAAGGCAGGUCUCUGGGCCACUACUGACGCUGAGAAGCGAAAGCAUGGGGAGCGAACAGG